AUUGUGUCCCCGAUACGUUUCACUAUGGCGGGAUCUGGAAUCUGGUCCCUAGCCCCUACUGGAAGACGCACACGCCCUGGCCAAACGCUGGGUACAGCCGAGGUAGAAACCAGGGUAAAAAUGGUGUGGCUGCGGCAUCUGACCGCCUCUAACUUCACAAGAUGGAAGGAAGGAGGAUCAAGAUCAACAGCCCAAGGCUGAUUCCUAUGAGGCAGAGGUCAGACAUGCCUCCAACCUGCAGCCUUUUUACCGAUCCUGACACCAACCAUCCCUCCCACGGGAGACCUUCUGGGAACAAGCAUUUAUUAUGACAUCGUGGCUGCAAGAAAAACAUUUCUCUUCAUUUUAAAAUCUCUGAUGGAAGGCAUCAUCCAUUACACUGUGAUCCAAAACAUGUCUUCAUUUUAACACACAACAAAGGUCAUAUUACAAAAUGUGCUGUCUGGGAGCCCAAGCUCUAUUGUGUAUUAAACUGAGGUUUUCCUGCAUGACUAAGUGGUUCUGCAAUUUUCAACUCAGCUAUGCUGUUGGGCCAACUGGGCCCUUUUGCAGUGAGAUAGGAACAUUUCAGGAGAUACGGUGCGGGGAGACUCCUUACAGGAUAGAGAUCUGGAGGGGGCAGUGUGUGCUGGGGAUAGGAGUUCGGGGCGGGGGCUUUAGGGGUUUCUCAUACGUCACUUACUGGGUGUUUGAAAUAAAGUACCUGUUUUUUUUUUAUCUUUCCCUUACCUCUGCUGACAACUGCUGGGUUCUCAUCCUCCUCCCGAGUCUCCGGGCUUCACGCCUCCACCUCUCCUUCCAAGAGAUGAAAACAGGUUUGGGGCCUGAAAAUCCUGCGAAGGGGAAACAUUGGGCUCGGCUGAGAAUGCGAGACGGCGGGAUGAGGCUGCUUUCUCAGGGUCCUUUCUUGCUUAUUCGCCCCUGAGAAGUCCAAUCUGUCCCCUUCCGCGCAGAUUCCUGGCGGGCCUGGCCAGACAACCGGGCCUCAUCAAGUGCUCCCAGGUGGCCGCAGGUCUCCCGCAUCACGUCCCGGUACUGGGCCCUCUGUGCGGGCCGCGACACGCCACUCCUCGGGAGAGAAGGUACACGGCUACACCGGCAAAGUUCACGGCCCCAGCUCUUUCCCUCUGGUCAGGCCCGGCCUCCCCCGCUACAUCCUCCGGGAGCCAGGUUGCGGGCGGCAUGGAAACCCCUCAGGGCUUCAUACAGAAAGGAUUCCGGAAUUCGUGCAUACACCCUAAUUUCCUGGCUUACCUCGGGAAUAUCCGUAAGGACCCAUAGUCUUACCCUUAAAAAAGAUGGCGCCUCCCCGGCUUCAAAAUCCUCUCUGCCCCUAGAUACCGUCGCGGAAAUCGGAAGGGAGGUUGGAUCCAAAACGUUCAUAAUAACUGAUAGAUGACAUGCGCUGAUUGGACAGCGCCGGGAGGCCGGGGAAGAAAAAGGGCUGUGGUUGGCCGUUCUUGAGCGGCCUGUUUAAAAGGCUGCGGGAGAAGCAGUCUUGGAAGCGGCCGGUACCGGAGAGCGGCGGGUUGGGUUCUGACAUCACUUUUUCUGGGCAGACACACGGGAUAAGGGUUUUGGUGGGUGAAGCUACUCCCUUCUGCUACUUAAGUGAGAACUCUUACGGACUGGUCUGGUUGGCCGGGGCUUGGAGAUGCGGCAGUUGAGCUACAGAAAGGUCAAGGCGGCAGUCAUCUCUGGCUCCCAGGUGUCAGUGGAGCUUCCAGACUAAGACGGACUAGGAAGAAAGACCUGGUGAUCUACUUCGGAAAAUCAGCCGUUGAAAACGCUCUGGAUCACACUGGUUGGCUCUGCAACCCGAUGGUGGAAUGGCUCCAGGCCAGGCAGCGUUUCCUUCCGUUGUGCAUGGGGCCCCCAUGAGUCGGGGCGGAGCGGGGAGGGAGACUACAUACACAGCAGCUACUAACAGGUUGAUGAUAUGUUUGCUGAAGUGUUUAGGGGUGAAGUGUACUGAUAUCUGCAAUUUCUUUGAAAUGUACCAGGAAAUAACAUGGACUGAUGGACUGAUAGAGGGACGGAUAGAUGGAUAGUUAUGUGAUAAACCAAAUAUAAUAAAAAUGUUAAUUAUGGAAUCUAGGUGAUGAGUAUAUGAGUGUUCAGUGUAAAAUUCAUUUAACUUUAUGUUUGAGAACUUUUUUUUUCUCUAUCACUUUCAGAUAUUCCAUUUCUUUAUCUCCCUGUGCUACAUUUUGGAUGGUUUCCUCAGAUCUAGUUUCCAGUUUAGCAUUUUUUGCUAUUUAACUCAUCUAUGUUAUUUUGGGGAAACCCUGGUGGCAUCAUGGUUAAGUGCUAUGGCUGCUAACCAAAAGUGAAGGAGAACACUAUGGAAGACAUAAGCAAUGUUGAAGGUUCAACUGACAUUGGAGAUGAGGAAAGAUACCGUGGCCCCUCUAGUACACUGC